rnacentral:lncRNA from 1 species
UGAGGCUCUGCCUUGAGUUAACUGCACUAGGCACUCUGAGAGAUCAUAUAAGAGAAAUAAGACUUGGCUUUUCCUUUGACGAGUUUUUAGUAGAGUUACUGGACUCUGGUAGAAACUGUCUCAUACAGCCUGAAAUCCCAGUAUGAUGCUGGUAUGAUGCUUGGGACAAAGCAGACACUCAGUGAACAAUGUCAACAACAUUAAGUGUAACUUCUUGUAUCUGGGCUAGUGGACUGGCUCCAGAUUGGUCCUUCAAGUGCUUCCCCCACAACCCCCUCCAAAUCUGCCAGCCCAGCAACUCAGUCUACAAGAAUUACUCCCAAUGACCCAUCAAACUAUAUGAUGGUUAGCCAGGAACAAAAGCCACUAGGAAAAUAAAGCAUCAAUUUCCAACCGGGUGUUUCAAAAGGAACUGAGGUAUUAAAAUAAGGUCACAGUUGUCCCAAUCAGAUCAUCUUUUCAAAGAAAUUGCAGGCUUGUGAGCCAACAGCAACCACAUACACCUUUGGAGUCAUCAGAACCAGUGUUCUCAACACUGAAAGCAAAAUCAAGUAAACAAGGCUGUGUCGU